rnacentral:rRNA from 1 species
ACACAUGCAGUCGAGCGGAGAUGAGGUGCUUGCCUUAAAUCUUAGCGGCGGACGGGUGAGUAAAUGCUUAGGAAUCUGCCUAUUAGUGGGGGACAACAUUCCGAAAGAAUGCUAAUACCGCAUACGUCCUACGGGAGAAAGCAGGGGAUCUUCGGACCUUGCGCUAAUAGAUGAGCCUAAGUCGGAUUAGCUAGUUGGUGGGGUAAAGGCCUACCAAGGCGACGAUCUGUAGCGGGUCUGAGAGGAUGAUCCGCCACACUGGGACUGAGACACGGCCCAGACUCCUACGGGAGGCAGCAGUGGGGAAUAUUGGACAAUGGGGGGAACCCUGAUCCAGCCAUGCCGCGUGUGUGAAGAAGGCCUUAUGGUUGUAAAGCACUUUAAGCGAGGAGGAGGCUACUGAGACUAAUACUCUUGGAUAGUGGACGUUACUCGCAGAAUAAGCACCGGCUAACUCUGUGCCAGCAGCCGCGUAAUACAGAGGGUGCGAGCGUUAAUCGGAUUUACUGGGCGUAAAGCGUGCGUAGNGGCUUUUUAAGUCGGAUGUGAAAUCCCCGAGCUUAACUUGGGAAUUGCAUUCGAUACUGGGAAGCUAGAGUAUGGGAGAGGAUGGUAGAAUUCCAGGUGUAGCGGUGAAAUGCGUAGAGAUCUGGAGGAAUACCGAUGGCGAAG